rnacentral:lncRNA from 1 species
UGAACCAAAUGAAAAGUUUGUAAGUAUUUAUAGAAACAAAUAAGAAUUAACAUAAGGAAGGAGAAGAAUGAGAAGAAAAAAAGAAGUAAUUGUUUUAGUUUUUGUGAACGAAAGUAUCAAACUUUUGGCAGGAAAGAGAAAAGUUGAAUUCAAGGAUACCCUUGAGAAACUUAAAUAAUAGUAAUAAAUAUAAGAUGCCAAAUUCUGUCAUUUUAUUAAAGAAAAUAAAGAAAUAAUUGGAUUGGGAUAAUUUAAUGAAUAGAGUAAGGCAUAAUAUAUAUAUAUAUAUUAUUAAUAUGAGAAAGGGAAUAGGAAUAGGAAUAGGAAUAGGAAAUUGGAAUCCGUGUGGGUAUGUGAAAACUGAAAAGUAAAGUGAAAGGUUAAAAGGGAGAGGGGGUUUUGUGUGUGGGUCCUACCUCCAACACCGAUAUUUGCGGGAGUCCAACGUGUCAGCUUUUAAACCUUCAUCCUCCCACCUCCUCUUCCUUUUUUUUUUCAUAUACUUCCAUUUAUCAUUUUACUGGAGAAUAAAUUCAUUUUUAAUUUUCUCCUAAUAUUCCAUCCCAUAAGAAUAAUAAAUAAUAAAAGACACUUACCUUUUUCUUUUUCUUUUUUUAUAGUAAAAAGAUGGUGGUAAGUUUUUGUCUAUUUAUUUAUUUUUCUCUUUUAAAAGAAAAAAAAAAAGGUAAGAAAACAAAAUUGAAAAGGUUUUAGAAGAAUGAAGGGAGUUCUUGAACUAUUUUCCGCUUCUUACCCACUCCCACAGUCACCCAUCGGCCAUCAUCCUAUAUAAUUGAAAAUCCCCCCUUAAAAUAUGGAUCAGUUGAAGUACUUAACUCAAUUUAUGGAGUGAAGAAUACCAAAUUAUAUGAUUGCUGCUAUAAUAAUAAUAAUUUUGAGUAGGGAGUAAAGAGGUUUGAGGUUGAGAAUUGGGAAAUAUAAAACAUAAUAUUUGAGUAGUGAGUAAAGAUGUUUGUGGUUGAGAAUUGGGGAACGUAAUUUGUAUAGUGUCAAGGGAGGAUUACCCGAACACUAGCAUUGUUAGUAGAGUUACAAAUAGGACAAUUAUGUAAAGAAGAAGCACAAACAGUACACAAACACAAAUGUCUGCAUGGCAAUAAUAACACACACGAUUCUUCCUUCCCACAUUUCUUACACCUUCUCUCUUCUUCUUCUGCUUCCUCUUCUUCUUCAUUUUCUUCUUCCUGCUUCCUCUUCUUCUUCCUCAUCCUCCUCUCAUCAUCUUCUUCCUCUGCCCCACCACCACCCCCCUCACAACACGACUCUGCCACCUCCUCCUCCACCACCACCACCGUUGUCUUCGUCUCCUGUAAAAGCAGCACUUCCUCCAAAUUCCUCCUUAACGCAUUUGCCGUCGCUUCAUUCGUCUCUGCCACAUCUCUCCAUAUUUGAUUCUCCAUACUCAAACAAUUCACUCUCUCCUCCAAUUCCCAAUUUAAUUUCCCCAUCUUCUCUAUCUCUUCCUCUUUACUCCUCAAUACCCUCAUCAUCCCCACCUCUAUUACCUCCAUUAUUCUCCUCGCUUCUCUCUUCCGUUUCUCCUCCACUUCCAUUCUCACCUUCUCCAUCUGCUAAUUACAACCCCCAAAAUUAAGUAAAAUUGAAAUUAAUUCCACACACAUCUAUAAAUAAAUAUAUAUUUUUCAAAAGUUAAGCUAUACCGUACAUGUUGUGAAAUCAAUAGAUCUAGAUCCAUCUGUUGUUGUUGAAUCUGAAUUGAGAUAUCUUCACCCAGAAAAUACAAAUUACAUCCGCAAUUCUUCUGUGAAUUAUUAUGAAGUUGCGAUGAAGGAUAGGAAACGAAUCGGUUUAGUGUAGAAGUAGAAGAAUGAUGAUGAUGAUGAUCUCUCGGUCGCUUUCUGGCCGGAAUGGGAAGAUUGUAGGUUAUACCGCUAUCGGAUUUCAUAACAACACCUGUGGAAGUGGGAAGCACCGCAGUGGCCUUAGGAAAGGAAUCCAUUGGUAAAGUAGAAUUGUAUGGAGGAAAGAGAGCUGCGGUCUCCACGGCUGUAGAGUUAGCAUUGAAGGCCGUUAAUGGCGAUCCGUAUCCCAUACCCAUAUCACAUACAAAAAAAGGAAAAAAAAAGAGAGAAAUUGAAAUGCGUUGCUCUGGGAAAUUGAAAUUUAUUUAAAGAACAAAAAAAAGUGUAUUCGGAAGAGAGAAAUGAUGUGAGGGUUUGUAUUUAUAGGUAAAAAGAAGUAAGAGGAAAAGAGAAGAGGGGGAUGCGGGUCAAUCCCGUAAUUUAGGGAAAGUUAGGAGGAGAUUUACGAGAUUCAUGACCUUUUCCAACGGAAUAUUGGAUUGGUUGUUUAAAUAAAAACAUAUAAUGUGAUUAAUAUAAUAAUGAAGGAAGAAGAGAGAGUUGAGAUUGUGGGUAAUAUGCGACGUGGAGUAUUAAAGCAGAUGACGCACGUAAGGAGACUGAAAGGGCUUUUUUCUUUUUCUUUUUUUUUUCUUUUUUUUGGGUACGGUCUAACCGACUUCUCACUUUCUUUCUUCUUUUUUUUUUUAAAUAUGGUUUUUUUCCCCUUUAAUGCCUUCUUUCAAACUCUAUUUUAGUUCAACCACUUCUUCUCUUUUUUUUCUUUUCUUUUAAUAAAACCCACAACCCCAUCCCUUCACAUCUUACCCUCUCCGAUCCCUUUAUUUCCUCAUUCCAACAAUUAAUCAUCUUUAUCACAACUCUUUCAUUAACCACAUUCUUAAUUCAUCUACAUCAUUCACUACUUUCCUCCUCAUCUUUUUUCUCCAUACCUUAUCACUCUCUUCUUACUCAACUUAAAAUAAAUAAAUAAAUAAAUCACCUAUGUAGAUAAAUUUAGAGAUAUAUGGAACAUAAUAUUUAAUGAAAUUUCCUUUUGAUAAUUUUGGAAAUAUAAAUGGAUGUUUAUAGGGUGUGAAGGUAGAGGUAGCCACCAACCACUUUGAAUGAUAAAAGGACGAAAGAGCAAAUAAAUAAAUUAAAAGGGCAUAGGGGGGCAUAUUAAUUACAUAUGACUGUCAGAGUUGGACCAACAUCAUUCACACAACAUAAUUAUGAAACUUUAUAGGGAGAGAGAAAUUUAAAAAUAUUUUGUGUUGAGAGUAGAUUAAAAGUUGCUAAAAAAAAAAUUUACUUACAAACUUUAAUAACAAUAAUCUCUUUUUCUUUUGCUUUCUAAUAUUGUUGCUUCUCUCGCAUCAUCCAUAUAGAUCAUAGUGCUUUUGUUAAACCACACCACACAAGAAUCUAAUUAAAAAAAAAAAAAAAAGAAGGAAAAUCAUCAAAAAGUAAUUUCAAUUCAACCCAAAAAUGAAUAAAAUAAACCAAAGUAGGGAAAAGGAGAAAGGGGGUGGUGGAUGCUAGUAUUAUUAGCAUCAUAGGUCAUCCUUUACUUUAUAUGAAAGGACACCUUAGAUUGUUGUCUCCAACUUAAAUCAACAGUAAAUCCUUCAACACAUGUGCCACAAACAAACCCUUUUUUUUUUUCUUUUUUUUUUCUUUUAAGGUUUGUUUACAAUAACAUGAUAUUGAUAUUGUUCAUUUUAGAUUUGAACAAAGGAUUGCAAAAAUGAUUUACAACCAUUUUCUGUUUUUUUAGUGGCUUUAUAUCAACACUUUUUACAUGUCCCUUUACUAAGUUAUUUCCAUCUUUAUUAAUUUCCUUGAUGAUGUGGUUGCCUUUUAACUCUUUUUCUUUUUUUCUUUUUUCUUUUUUUUCCUUUUCCUUGUUGUAACUUUUAUUUUCUUUCAAGUGGUGUUGCCUUAAUAUUCCACAUGUGAUCUCCAUAGUCCACUCUCUUUUAACCCUCACAUUUUAAGAUUCCCCAUACCACUCUCUUUCUAUUUCAAAUCUCUAUCUUUGAGUUUUUUUAGGGAAUCUUAUUCAUCUCACCUACACCCCAUAUAGAAAAAGUUUGAAGGAAGAAAUAAAUCCUUUUAAAUUUGUCUUGAGUUCACCUAUCUCUUUCGACGAUAUUGAAGAAAGAGACAGAGCUUAGAGGGAGAGAAAAUAAAAAGAGAGCUUGUUAUUUAAUGAAUAAGGUUCCCAUAUGUGAAGCAACAAAGGAAAUAGAGAUAUAGAUCAAUAUCUUUCACUCUUUUUCCACUCACAAACAGAUGGUUUGUUGAGGCAUCAUUAUAAGGACUAAUACAUUGCUUAUGGAUGAGGAUGCUUUAACUCUAAACUAAUAAUUUAUGCCUUUCAUCAAAUCAAAACCUAUGUUUUGGAAAGAGUGAAAGAGAAGUAGAACAAAGUGAUAAAAAUAAAAUAAAAUACUGUACACUGAUUUUUGUGGGGGUGGGUUGGUCCUUCCAGUAGUAAUAGGGUACCCUACCAAAAAGCUAAAAGGGGUCAGAGUUCAGGCUGCCUAAUUUUCACCCUAAGCAAUCAAUGCUUUGGUUUCUUUUUGGACCCAAAUAAAAAUGGAGAGAUGGGAAAGUUUUUUUUUUCCAUAAGCUUGGGUUUGGUUUUUAAUGUUGUUUCAAAAUAUUUAAUGGGUUGGGUGGCAGUGGCAUGGCAGUGAUGAAAGUUUGGGAAUUGCAUGUGGAAAUAAGGAUUUUGAGUGGUGGUGUGGGGACAAGUCUUUUCACAUUGAAUGAAGGAAAUGGGGUGAAUACAUAUAAGAGAUAAUCUUGAUUCCAAAAUCCAAAAUCCCAAGUAGUGGAAAAUGGAAGUUGGUUUUUUAUUUUUUAUGUGUGUCAUCUUUCUUUUCCCAAUGCGUGUGAGUGUGGGUGUCUGUGUCAGAUUUUCUUUUUCUUUCUUUCUUUCUUUCUUUUUAUUCAAUUACUAAAGAGUGAAUUGUACAUUUCGGUUGUUUCUUUGGAGCCCAGCCAGAGGUACCAAGCCAGGCCACCAUCAAUGUCCUCCUUCUGCUUCAACACAAUUUCAUAACUGCUCCAUUAUUGAUUUUAGUUGUGUUAUCAGCUUAGUUUUGUAUGAAGAUGGCAGAAACAAAUGGGGGAAUGGGGAUAACUAUAUGACAUCAAUUAUUGAGGAUUCUAAAGAUCUUUGGAAAAAGAAAUAGGAUGAAGGAUUGAGUUGUGCCUCGUCACCAGGGUUAUGUCGUUGCCUACAAGCUACCUAGCUACUCGUAUAAGGAGGUGUGUCACUCUCGAGUCCCAUUUUGACGAUCACCAUCGUAAGGAUGCACCUAUGUUACUCUGUACUUAGAAGAAGAAAGAAACUACUAUUUUUAUUGUAUUUAGAUUUGUUUGCUUUCUAAAAUGUGUGAUUCAUGUUCAUACACUACCAUUUCACUGAAUAGUAGAGUAGAGAACAUAACAUCACAGUGAAAAAAGAGUUGAAACAAUUUCUUCAAUGGCAUCCUGUUCCUUAAAAUUUCAAUAAUUGGUACCUGAGCUACAUAAUAAAACAUUAUGAGAUCUAAAUUAUUAGAUGUGGAAGUAAAUAUUACUAGAAUUCAAACAUACUUGAUAUAGUUUAAUUAUAAAAGUAAAGGCACUGAUGAGUUCUUUGUUUUCCUUGCACAUAUCCCAGCAGAUGCAGUGCAAUCACUACUCAACUAAACUACUAUAGGAGAAAGCAAAUAAUUAAAGCCAAUGGCCCAUUUACAUUAUUAUUUGCACUUAGGAGACGCCUGAAACAAUCAUUCAUCAGUCAACCAUCGUACUGUAAAGCCUAUCAAAAUCAAUAAUUCAUCCUCAUCAUCCACAAAAAUGUUUACACCAUGAUGCUAUAACUAUUAGAAAUCCCCCCCACCCAACAACACUCAUAAUGUAUUGCACAGGGAACAGUCCUCGACUAUUAUUUGGUAAAUGGCAGAACAAAUGAACAAAAGAAUAGAAAUUCAACAUGUAAAUCGGUUUUUAAAAAAAGUAUAGCUAACCGGCUUAGCAUAAGUGACGAAGUCGAAUACUUCAAAGUUGAUCUGAUCAUCCAGUGACCUUGGAAGCCUCAGCAAAACAAACAAAAUUCGGUCUUGCAUUUAUGAGGAAAAUGGAACUCGAGGAUGGUAUCUUUGCUUCUUCAUCCAGUUUUAAGGCAAGUGAAUAAUUAAGUGAAUGGCUUGGUACCUAAACUUCAUGUUCGGAUCAAUUGAGCUUCAUAUCCCCGGCUACUAUCAACAAGGAAUCAACAUUGAAACACAGUCCAGACUGACAUUUUUUAUAAAAUAACAGUUGUAGACAUGAAGCAUGUUAUGUAGCUGGGGAAUUUUGUGUCAAUGAUGAUCCUACUUGAAGCAUAAGAGGGUAUACUGCAGUAAAUUCCUUGUCUCCUCUGGCCCGUACCCUAGUGGCAUAAUCAUCUAGAGUUGCUUUGACACCUUUCCAAACUUGUUCCUCACCUUGAGAGUCCAACCACAAUGAGUACUGCUGAGGAGUAAGUUUGUUCCUUUGCAUCGGUGACUGCAGUUCCUCAGGACCCCGAGAAUAUAGAUGAUGAAGUAUGACACUCGCUGGCAAAUCGUGCAGUAGUGGAGAUGCCUCCAGUUGAGAUGUUUCAAGAAAUAUAAGCGGACGAAAUGCUCGAAGAGCUCGAUAUGGUGCACCAAGUUGUUCUACAGGGAACAAGUUUUGACCCACGGCUAGCUCCAGUUCAGCCAUGUCCCUAGCCAUUCGUAGUUUUCCUGAUUCAGAAAGAGGUCUGACAAGAGAAGCAUGCCUGAUAAAGAAAAUUAACACUCUUGAUGCCAUGCUUCUAACAAGCUGAGUGCAAAUGUUUUCCGUUCCAGAGAUGGUUGCAUUUUUGGAUGAAGGCAACAGCCUUGAUAAGAACUCACCGCGAAAGUGAAGAAUGUACUUUUGCAGUUCCUCCAUGUAAGGUGAUGCAUUAUUGUCCAUUGCGGCAUUCAAACCCAGUGCACCAAAGUUCUGGUCAUGAAUUUGCAAUAUACAUGACUCGAGACUGUCGAGCAUGGCUUGGAAUAACGAUGUCACAGAAUCACAGGCAACCCCGUAUAUUGAACCUAAUGAAGGAGACAGAACAUCAGAAGCAAUGAUGGGUAGCCCAGUUAUCAUAGAUGAUACUCGAGUAUGAAUUUCUUGCAGAUGCUGGCAUAAUGUGAAAUUCUUAAGUUGGGCUGCGGUUGCUGGACCAUUUACUUGGCGAGCUUCAGGACCGGUAGAUAUCUGCCAUCAAAUUUCAAUAAUAUGAUAAGUCACAAAUCGGAGUAAAUAUUUGAAUAUUGAAAUAUAUUCCACCAACAUUGAGAAUUAUAAUCCAAAAAUAAUUUCUUCUGAUCUAAACUUGGGUUUAAACAAAAAUCACUAGAAAAGAACGAUCCUUCCCAUAAAACAAAAACUUUCCCCUCUUAUGACAAUCAAUGAAUCAUUUCAUUUUCACAAGCAAGUAAUGAAGGAUGUAAGACAGUUAUUCACCAAGAACAGAACCAAGUGACAGUUUAAGAGCCUAACCUACAUCAGUCCAAAAAUCUGAGAUAGUACAGAUUGGUGAAGCAAAGCAGUUCCACACUAGGAACAAAAUUUUGUUCAGUUCUGAAUAACAAAACCAAGUGACAGACUGACAGUUUAAGAGCUUCACCUACAUCAGCCCAAAAAUCUGAGAUCGUAUGGAUUGGUGAAGCAAAGCAGGGCCACACUAGAAAGAAGACUUGUCAAGUCCUAUAUGUAAAUAAUCCUGAUUUACAAUGUUUCCAAGGUCACAUGGGAUCUUUGGUAGAUGGACAAUAUUUUAUUAUGAUAGGAAACAAGAUAGAAUAUAUUGUAUACCAAGGGUUGUAGAUGGACAAUACUUUAUUUUCAUAGGAAACAAGAUAGAAUAUAUUAUAUACUAAGGCUUGUAGAUGGACAAUACUUUAUUUUCAUAGGAAACAAGACAGAAUAUAUUAUAUACCAAGGCUUGUAGAUGGACAAUACUUUUGCUACUGUACUACAAAUUGCUUAGUAGUAAAUCUUGCAUGGAAAAACAGUAUGGGAAUAAGAAUAUCUAUAGCGGAAUUUUUUAGAGGCACAAACAUUGAACAAAUAGGCCCCCCUGGUGAACAACAAAGACUAAAUUCGGGGCACUAUGACUACCUCCAUUUUUAUAACAUGGAAAAACAGUAUAAACAUAUAACUUUGGAUUGCAUAUGAUAGUAGACAGUAGUGGUUAGAAUAUGCCAAUUUCAUCAGAAAACAAACUACCUGACAUUCAGCUCUUUCAGCCAGUAAGAGCAGAGCCUUGCCAACUUGACGCAGCACAAGUAGAGUUAAGCGUCCAUCCAUCUGAACAGAUUCAAUCUCUUCCUGAAUACAUGAUAUGAUUUUUGAGAUCUGUUCUUUCGAGGGAACACUACCACGACUUGAGACUGGAAAUAUAGAGCUAACAAGAUCAGACAGGCGACUCAAGCAAAAGCCGAGGAAAGCUGUCUGGAAUAUUUCAAUGGCUGCAACCAUCUGAUCUUUUCCUGUUGAACUUAUUGCUGGCACAACCCCUUUGACGUCAGUAUCACGUGAAAUUCUUUCAAGAAGAUUCUCUAUCAUUGAAAACAGUUUUGGAUACCCCAUAGUGAAUAUUUCUUUCACAAAGCUUGAUGCAGUAAAAGCUGACUUCAUUUGGCUAGCAAAAGCCUUCACAAGAGCCUCCCAAACUCUAUCUGUUAACAUGGAAUCACCUUCCUAAACAACGCAUAGGUUAUAUGAGAGACUGGUUGCAAAUAGGAGAAAGUUUAAGAUAACUAUACAAAUUAUGGGUGUAAAAUUGAGCAGAACAAGGACUAAUGUGAAUCGCAAAAGAUUUUAUUUCAAAUUCUGUGAGUAAAAAACUUUGACAAGGUAAGUAUCUCCUUAUGUAAUUUGCAGUGACUAUGAUCUGACUAACAAUUUGCUUUGAAAUCUCACAACUUUCAACAAAUGAGGUGGAAAGAAAAUGAUGACAACUUGGAUAUACUUCAAAGCACAUGGAAAAAUUUUGGGACUGAAAUCUACUCGAAAUCUUAAUUUCAUCUUUUCUCCCACUGUCAACUAGUAGAAAAAGCUUUGAGAUGACCAACUAAUGAAUCACUUAUUUUAUCAAAGUUUAACAGUAAAUUGAAUUUUAUGCUCAAAAUUAACAACAGAGAAAUUCAGCAGCCGCUUUACUAUAUCUUUCACUUCUAGAUUAUAUUCAACAAAUGUCACCAAGUGAUCACAGAUUUCAAAUGCACCCAGUUUCUCUGUUUCAUAUACUACAUUGGUCAUUUAGAGACAGAUAUCAAUCUACCAAAAUGUUUAACUAAUUGUGACCGAGACCCAGGUAACGAAAGGUGUUGUCUAAAUUAAAAUCAGUACCUAUAUCUUAGGCUUAUCGCUCGCUAGUCUUAUAUGAAAAAAUAAUAGUUUCAUUAUCUACAUUACAGAACAGAUUUUGGGUAUCACUUGCCUGGAUAACCUCGUCAAGCAGCAAAACAUGAGUAAAAGGGUCGCGUUUCUUCGAUAAGACCCUCUGCAAGUGCCAAACAGCAAUAACAAUUGAAUGCAACUGAUCCAAACAAGUUCCCAAUCUCUGCCAGAGCGCCUCCCUUGCCUUAGCACCUCCACCAAUCUGUGGCGUCCCACUUCCCCUUAUUCCUCCCGGACCAAAUCCACUUCCCGCCGACCCCGAAAUUGACUUCAUAUCCAAUGCCACACUUACGCUCUUCACCCCCAUACCCUUAUACUUGGUCAUCAAUUGCUCAAUGGUCGCCUUCAAUUCACCAAGAUUGUAAAACACCUGCAAACCAGUCCCCACCUCAGCUUGAUUCAGACCCUCCAUUCCUCUCUCCAAAACCUUCAUAGCCUCAGUUCUCAAUUUAUCCCCAAUUUCUUUAACCCAUUUCAACUCCUCGUCAACAACAUCGAUGCCCGCCAGGUCAAACUCAGUACAAAGGCUCAAGAUCUCGCAAUGCAGCUGGGCAGCCUUAGCAAGAUCCAGCUUCUCCGGGUCAUCAGCAGAUGCAGAAGCAAGUUCCCUAAGCUUCUUCGACAAACGAAGGGCACGGAUCGUAUGCUGAAGAAGCUCGGUGGUUUGAUGAAGAUUGGAGAACUGAACGGUCUUGGUAAAAACGACAUUUCUAGGUUCAGAAAGCUCGGAUCGGACAUGACGAACGGUGGACUGGAGGGAGGAGACACCGGAUCGAACAGUGGAGAGGGCAUUCUCAGCGUGCUUGAGAGAUGAGAGUUGAGAGAGGAGAUCAUUGUGGCGGGAGAGAACCUCAUUGCGAAGCUGUGAUUCAAGGAGACGGAUGGCCUUCUGGAGCUUCUCGGCAGUGGAGGCGGGUGAGCCGGAGGAAAGAGCGGCGGAGGAGAAGGAAGUGGAGGAGAAAGAAGGAGAAAGAAAAGCGGAGAAAACAGGGUCGGAAGCAAAGGAAUCGAGAGGAGAUGUAGCAGUGGCAGUGGUGGUGGUGGAGUUAACGGGGAGAGGGGAAUUGAAAGAAGAAAAUCGGUGAAUAGGGGAGGAGGCGGCAGCCGGAGUGGAAGAGAGCGGAGAUCGCUGAGACUGGAACGGUGACGGUGAGGCUGCGGCUGAAGACGCCAUAUCGGUGGGAAGACGGGAAUUUUCAGUCGUCAGACGGGGAAUGCCUUUUUUAUUAUUCGUUUUCUUGAAUUUGGAGCAUUAUAAAUCUAAAUCUAAAUUAUUGUAAUUCAAAUCAAUCACUAUAUUACUAUAUACUAUAUACUAUAUACUAUGUAUUCUUCUCCUAAUAUUACCUUUCAUUUUUACUAAUUCAACAUUUUGGGUCAAUUUUAAAUAGUUUAAACUUUCUUUUCUUUUUCACUUUAAAAUACUUUUUAAUACAAAAAUAAUAUUAUUGAAAACAAACUCUUUUGAUCCCUCAAAAUUAUGGUUUAUAUUUCUAAAUAUAAUUUUCAUAUAUUAAGGAAUUAGUGCAUAUGCUAUAGACUUAUAAAUGAUUUAGAAAUUGUUAAACCUACCUACAAUUCAGAGUUGAAUGUUUUACCAAUAUUGUGUUUGAUAAUUGUUUAAACACUAAAAGAAAGAAUUGUGUUUCAUAAACAUAGAAUUGUUUGAAGUACAAAGUUGAGAUAUGAUGUUUAAGUUUAAAGUGCAAAUUUGUUUAAUUUUGUAUUUGACGACAAUGUUGAGUUGAUAUACUAUGAGCUCCUAGUGCAAGAUUUUGUACUCUAAGAAUUUGUUUGAAAGAUAAUCUAAAAACAAAAAUUUAACCAUAAGAGAAUGAAUGAAAACACUGUUAUAUUUCAUAUUUUCAUAUUUGUGUUUAGUAGUAGAAUUUACAAAUUAGAUUUUAAUUUAAACAAUUGAAAACUAGUUGUCAGUUACCUACAAUAAGGUUUCCUUUUCCUUCUUUUCAAUUCCUUUUCUAUUUCAUUUUUCUUUUCCAUUUUCCUUCAUCUUAUCUCUAUCGUCUUUCCCAAAUAACCACCCAUCUUUCUCUUCCUCUCAUCGUGUUCGUUGUUUUCCUCUUUGUCUCUCAUCUUCUUUCUCUACAUGACGCCUUCCUCUUCGCUGGAUCUGGGUUUUUCUCUUCCUCUUUGCGUGAAUUGUGUUUUCUUUGUGGGUUUUCGUUAAAUUUGUGGGGUUUUGUCAGUUUCAGUCCUCCUCUUCGUAGUGGGUUUUCGUCUUUCUCUCGUCGACUCUGUUCUUCAGAUCUCAAUCUUCAUCUCCUUCUCCAUAAGAUUACAAGAUGACAUUCAUAUCUAGGUUUGAUAAUUUUAUUUUUUUAUAUGUUUAAUGGAGAACAUAUAUUUUUGUUUGAUGUUUAAUUGAAUUAAAUGCGAAUAAAAUAAAAAAAAAAUCAGGAAACAAGAAACAAUUAUCAAACACAUUUUCUGUUUCUGUUUUUUUUUUUCAAGAAACAAGAAACAAAAACAAUUAUCAAACACAUUUCUGUUUCUUGUUCCAAAAAAAGAAGGAACGGAAAACCGAAAACAGGAAACAAGAAACAGGAAAUGAGAACGUUACGAAACGAGUCCUAAAUUAAUUAAUUAAAAUUUUAUUUCUAUAAUUCAUAAUAUCCAUAUUUAAUAACGGUUUGAAUUCAAAUUUUAGACAAUAUAAAGAAUGAAAAAUAUAUUCAAUAGGUUCAGAUUCUUUAUAUUUCAUACUAUUUAUAAAACUUUAUUAAAUAAUACAUGAUACAUACUUCUAAUAACAAAUUCCAUUUAGGUUUUAUAUCAUCCCAAAAAUUGAAUGGCAAACAUAAAUUUUUAAUAACAACUUAUAUUCCAAAAUAUUUAUAAAAAAAAUCUAUUAAAUAAUACAUAAUACAUAUUUUUAAUAACAAUUUAAAUUUAAAUUUUUUUAUCCCUUGAAAUCGUGCUAAUUACGAGUAUCCACUUAUUUUAGUUGAUUUUUAUUUUAAAAAAUUUAUUCUUUACUUUUUGCCAAUUGUAUAGAACUAUUAUAUUGAGACAUUAAUAUUCAUGUUUAUUUUCAUUAGACGUUUUCUUUUUUGUGUUACGGUUUUCAUCGAAUACUUACUUUACAACAUAUCCUUUAACAUUAUUUGUGAUGGCUUUACAAUGAGUAAAGGUUGUGUGAGAUGGUGGAUGGAUUGUAACUUUUCUAUAUAUUUAUUAUCGUGUGGUUGAUGUAUACGUUUAGUUUGUUAAUAUCGUAAUUGAAAUUCAUAUCAGUAGGUUUAGUUUGUCAAAUACAAUAUAUAAUUUACAUACACAUUACUUAUCUCAUGUCAUCGAUAAAGUACUCAACCCAUAAAUUAUAUAGAAUUCAUAUACACGGCUAUUAGAAAGUACUAGUCACUAAUGCCAAUAAACAGAUUCAAUGUUUUAAUAACAAAAGUAUAUACAUAUCAUUGAUGAUGACAAAACCUAUUCCACACCGUCAUAUUUACAAAUACUUUGUAAUUGUAUUCCACAAUUCUUAUUAUCUAAUAGUCAUUCAGUAUAACAAACAUAUUUCAAUCUUUCAGGACUAUACCAUUUUCAUUUGAUCUUCUUCCUUUUUGCUUCAUUUCAUCAUAUAUUACUUUUUCAUCGAUUGACCUUGUCAACCUGUUUAUUUCUCCUUAGUGUGCUAUGUGCCCUAUUACAAUUAUGUACACAUGUUAGUUUUCAGGAUGUAUUCUAAACAUUUUGAUCAAGUUGUACUAUAUUCAGUUUUUAUCUUUACCUCAUAUGGUGAGCGAUCUCCACUUGUCUUUGUGCAUACUUUAGUAUUGCUAGAGGUGGUUGUUGGAUUCUUAAGUUGGUCGCAGAGAGGUAGUCACUUCACUAAGUCUGUAGUUAGAGGUGGUUGUUGGAUUCUUAGGGGGUGAGAAGAUAGACAAAUGUAGAGUUGUACGAACAAGGCGUGGUUUAGUAAGCAAUAAUGUUUGUUCUAAUUUUUUUAAUUAUUUAAAUGAGACAUUGGGCAAUGCCAUCAUUGAGACGUUGAGAUUUUGUAGCGACAACGCGUUGAGACACAACAUAAUGUAAACGCUUUGAGGCGAGGAGGUAUUGACACAUUAAGACUUUGAGGCGUUAGAAAUAUCAUGCAUUAAUACUCUUAUGACCGUUGAGGCGUUACGAAACUCAACACUAUAUAUAGUCCCUUCACUCCUCUUAUCUUAUAUCAUCCAGAAAUACUUCUCUUACAAAUUUCUCUCAAAACUUAUCUCCCUUAUUUUUGUUUUCAGAGCAAAGUCAUUCAAAGCAUGUGUUGAUUUUCGAUUGAUUUUGAUGCAACUUUGAUUGAGUUUUCUGCCUGUUUUAUCCCAUGAGUGACAUGGAUAUACUGAACUAUUUGUAUUCCAGACAGAGUCAUAAAACGUCUUAAAGAGAGGGUGAACCUCGACUCAUCUAACAAAUUUAUAUUUUUCGAUUAAGCAUCCAAGCAUUAAGUCUAGGCGUCCACCAACCAGUCGUUCACCAGUCUAGGCGACCACACGAGGUAACCAUGCUCCAAGUUUCAUCUAAUCUAGGCGUUCAAACUUCUAAACACCAAUUGUUGCUUACAAUACAUGCUUCACUGCAUCCUCCCGUACUUGCACCAACAAUUUUUUUAAAAAAAGAAAAUGUGUCUGAAUUUCAAAAUAGAAAACUAAAAACAAAAUCAACAUGAGUAAGUACAAGUAGAAAAUGAUUGAAAAAUGAGAAUUUCCAAACUCCAUUCCAUAGCACUUUUCAUUUAUUUUUUUUCUCUUUUUAGCCUAGGAGAUAGAGAGAAGGAAUUCACGUCAUUAAGGUUUAUUUAGUACCACAAUAAAGUAUUAGGUGAAUUAAUAGAAAUCAUCUACUUAUUACAUAAAAUGUAAUUAAUGUAUGGAAAGAACGCAUAUUCCAAUUUAACUAUAAAUUAUUUAUGAUGAAUACAAUUCAAUUAAUUGAAGUCUAUAUCAUAGUUUUGAAUCUCUCAACUUUACAUAAAAAAUUUAACGUUUGGAUCAUUCAUCCACCUAAACUAAAAUGACAGAGUGUAUGUGGAAAAGAAGGAAAGAAGAAGGAAAGAAGAAGGGAAAGAAGAAGAAAAGAAGAAGGAAGGAAGGGUUUUGGGAAUACAUACACCAUAAAUUACAACUACAACAAAACCACAAACAAAUUAUGCCUACAGAAAAGAAAAAUGGAAUCCAACACAAGCCGACAAUUGAUAUAUACUCAUUUUCCUAACUACGCCUUAAUUUGAUCCGAUCAUAUUCUCCGUUACUCAGUUGUCACUAAAAGACAAUCAAACAAAUAAAAAUGAAAAAGAUCAGACAUGACCCCCACAACAGAGUAAGAAGAAACAGAGAGUUGAGACCAACACAAUGGCUUCAACAACAGAAACAAUCUUGAAGAAGACAUUAUCGACGAGAAAAUGAAACAUUUGAAAAUCAAUUGGGUUUCUUCUGAAUAGCCAAGAAAACCGCCAUGGCCAUAGCUCUUUGCUCAUCAUCUUCUUCAACGACCAUGUUGUCUUCUUCUUCUUCCCCAUAAAAUAAACAACUCUCUGUCAGUUUCUCUCACAAAAGGAUAAAAAUGCAGAGGCUCUGUAUGUUAUGUUAAUAUGAAUAAAUGGAGGCUUCUUUAUUUUGGGGGUUUGGCCACUCUGUUUUUGUUUGUGGGGGAGAAUCUUAAAGAACAAUGUAUUUGCUGGCAAAUAAUAUAUGUAGAGAUGGUGGGGAAAUCUAUGCAAUUAAUUCCAACCCAUUUCUGUAUAUCCUAAAGUUGGAUAAUUAGGAUUUUAAUUCAAUUUCAAAUUUCUUUAUAAAAUAUGUAAGUAACCGUUAAGAGGUUUUGAUCAUAAUAAAAGAAAGAAGUAACGUUAGCCUUUAGACCCCACUUUGGGGAAAUUUUGGAAAAGAGCUGAAGUUGUGCCAUUUGUUUUAAAAUAUGACAUUCCCUAAAAUCUCCAAUUAUCUAAAGGGGAGUACAAAAAUGAAAAAUGAAUACAGCAUUGUUUCCAAAUGUCUUAAAAUUUUAUAUUUAAUAUACAUAUACAUAUAUGUACCUAUGUAUAUUAAUAUUUUUGAUUCCUAUCCAUUUGAGGAUAUUAUAGUUACAGUACAGAGUAUUUAUGAAGUUUAACUUAAUUAUGCAACUUACUUUUAUUUUUAUUGUAAUAGUUGGGUAAAGAAAAAGAAUAGAUAUGAAAUUGGUUAUAUUAUAUUACUAUAUAUUUAAAAGAAAAAGAAAAAAAAAAAGGAAGGAGGAGAAAUAGGCACGCGUGAAAAGGAGGAGAUCAAGUAGCCAACUUGUAUGCUACAUUGUUCCGUUCCGUUCCGUUGUAUGGAAAGGGACAUGGAUAACGGUAUAAUUACAAUAUUCAUUUUUUAAAAAAAAAAAUAAAAAUAAAAUUUAUUCCUUAAAACAAAUACCAAAUAAAACCCAUAUCUUCAUCAAAAGGUAACGCAACGGCCGGUUAUCAAAUUAGUCCUCCAUUUUUUACGAAAUGUAAUCCUUUCAUUUUAGACUAAUACAAAUAAAUAAUAUAUAUAUAGCCAGCUGGUAGACGGCAUGCCAUGAUUAAGAAAAAAUAAUGUAAAAUUGAUUUUGAAAUUGUUGCUUCAAUAUAAAAGGGUUAUUUGGAAAAUAUAUUGAUUUUCACAACAUUUCCAAAUUCACCCAAAUUUUAUAUUCUAUACAUGAAAAAAAAUAUAUUCCAAAUGCCAAAAUUAUUGAAAUAUUGAAUUUUGUAGGCAUGUAUAUAUAUGUUACUGAUAUUAGAAAUAGUGUCUGUCACCACGAUCACACAACACUCCUCUUGAAAGUGCCAUUGUUGGAUUUUAAGCUAAGAGUAUUUUUGUUGAAGGAAGUUUUUCAUUUUGGUGGUUGGAUUUAAAGUCAUAAGUUUUUGAAGUUGAGAUUGAACUCUGAAUUGCACAAGACUUUUGGGAUGAGAGAUAGUGAUGUGAGUGUUGGUCAAGUGACAGGGAAUUCAUGUGAAUGUGGGGGUGCAAAGGGGUAAGUGUGGGGUGUUAAGUGUGUAUAGGAUGGCCAAUGCAUAGCCAAACAACAUGAAGCGCGUGUUAGGGUUAUGUGGCAUGCCACAGAUGUGUGGCUAGACAUGUAGCGAGGUUAGCACGCUGCUAGGCAAUCUGAUGGGUCUGUGUGUGCACAUGUGCAUCCUCUAGUACGUACUGCUCAUCCCAAGCACCAACCAUGCCCUAAGUGUCAUUUUAGGCUAUUUUUAGUGUUUUUGUAAUUUGUAAGUAAAGUUUGAGCUACUUCUGAAUUAGGAAGAUUAAUUGCGAAUUCUCUUAUUUUAGGUCAAAAGGAGAUUGAAAAAAUUUAUAGACCAAAGAGUUAUCUUUGUUAGUAACAAAAAUGAGUUUAAAUGUUGAUUUUCGAAAUGAACUACUAGUUAAAUGAUUUGAGUAUGAUUUAAGUUAAAUGUGCAUAUUUUGUAUACAGCUUUUAGAAAAUUAUUCCCAAAGCAUGAUAUUUAACCAAGAUAGAGUUUAUAAUUGAGCUUGUGAACUGUUAAUAAGCAAUAACAUGAGUUUACUGAUAUUAUUAAGUUCUUUGGUUAAGCUCAAGAUUUAAGUAAAACAUAUUUUAAAACCUCAUGAGACUUAUGAGAAUUUCAAGCAAGCAUGAGUUAUGUUGAGUUUCUAAGUAUUUAAGCUUGAGAUUGAUUCUAGCAAAGCACGUUUUAAAGAAUAGAACUUUGAUGUAUGCAAGAGGUUUAUUUAAACAUGUUCUAGUUUGAGUUAAGCUUGUGAUUUGAAGGCAUGUUUAAUUCUAUACUUGAGAUACCUAGAGAAUUAUAGUAACUAUGCUAUGGAGUUUCCUGUGCACAAAGGUUUAUAUAUUGUGAUGAUGGCAUUCAAUAGAUGCCUAAUUUUCCAUCACAGAGAUUAGUUAGAGACGAGGGCCUCUUUGGACGCCUAGUUAUCCAUCUUAGAGCAAUUAUAUCAAGAUGAGGGCACUCCUAAUGCAUAGUUUUUCAUCUCAAAGUUAUACAUAAAUUUAGGAUAUAGAGAGAAAGAGAAAAGCUUGAGAAGCUAUUUUAUCACUUUGCUAUGUGUAUUACUUGCAUAUUUAUAAAGCAUGUUUCGUUUUAAAAGAUAAUAGUGAUUCAUUGAGCUUUAGUUCGCAUUUUUUUCAAAAUGUUUUCACUUCUUAGGUAAAGAUCGUAGACCCGGAGUCUAUCUUACUGGUGCCUAUCUACUGGAGAGUCUUAGUUACCAUUUCAAUAGUUACCAUUUCAAUAUGUCUUGUAUUUGAAGCCUGCAUAUAGUCUAUAUAUUUUAUAUUAUGUGAGUUUUGAAUGUUGUAUAGGAAAUUGUUGUGGGAUAUAUUUUGUUUGAGUAUUUAAGACUUAUUAGAACUUUAAAAGUUCACUCUCUCAGGUUUCUACAUUUAUGAUUCCUUUUGAUUUUAGUUGUUGAGUUAGUAGUUAAGUUAAGGGUCAACAAGUAUUCUUGGGAGGGAAACAAAAAUUAUAAGCUUCAUGUCUUCUCUUCGACUUAAAGAAGGCAGUUUGAGAGAGUGUGUGAUAGUUCGGUAUCAGAGUAUGUUAGUUCUUUGGGAACUACAAAGUAAGAGUCUUGAGGAAACUUAAGAGUAAGUUAAGUCAGAGUUAGAGUUUGCGAUAGAGUUCAAGAGUUAAGUCAUCUACAACAUGUUUAAUGAGUUGAUACGUUAUAGGAGUCAUGCAAUCACAUCUUAGUAGAGAACAUAGGCAGAAACAAAACGAGACACAAGACUCAACCCAAGGACAGUUUGAAGGGGAAUAUAGUAUCUAGAGAGCUUAGACUGAGGUAGAGAAUGAUCGGUUUGCUAGAUUUGCCCAAAGGUUAGUAUAGUUGAUGGGCUCAGUGCCUAGUGAUAUCGAGAGGACUAAGUAUGGCAUAGAGCGACUCAAACCUCUAGAAGCACAAUAUUUUAGGGUUUUACAGAUCCAACUAAUGUAGAUGCAUGGUUAAAUCUAUCACAAAAGUGCUUUCGAAUGAUGGAUUAUCCUGCAGAGAGGAAGGUCAGGCUAACCACAUUCCUACUUUAAAAGGAAGUAAGGAGAUGGUAGAAAUCAAUUAAAGCUAGACGCAACAAUGCUCAUACCCUUGAUUGGAUGACUUACAAAGCAGUUGUGAAACUCGUGCCUAAAAAAAAAGGAAGUUUUCCUUCCAAGUCGUUAUUUUCCUACUUGUUAUCCAAGAUGGGAGUGAUUGAUACUCACUUUCCAUCUUGAGGGAGAGUAUUAGGUGUAUAGUUGUAUUUUCACAUCAAAUUCAUAUUUUUUUAGUCUUAUAUUAUCUUGUAUUCAUAUAUUUUAUUAACUUUUUAUUCAAUAAAAGUUUAAUCUGUCCAGCUUGAGAUCAGUAUACACAUAUUAAAAUUAAAAGAAAAGUCAACUACUUCAUUUCACUUAUAUGAACAUAUCAAAAUCAGAUUGAUAGCACCGAAAAUGUGCUAUCUAGCUCUACUUAAUUCUAGCUUGCUUCUUGAUUUUACAUUUUUAUUUGAAUAUUUUAUAGGUUUUGAGUAAUUUAGGAUAGAAAUUGGUGUUUGGAGCUUAAUUGGGUGAAAUAUAAGUCAUAUGACAUCAACCAAAGCAAAAGCAAGUUAAAAAGAGCUUCAUUGGCAUGCCUUGCAGCACCAUGAUGAUGUAAGAUUUUCAUCUAAUCUUGCUGUUGUGUUUCUCUCAAUUUUCUAAGUUGUUUAUGUCUCCAAACAUCUUCUCAUCGUUCGACAUGUCAAGAAUGAGCUCAUGUAUCAUGUAUCUAGCUAGGGUUGUUUAGGAUUUUCCAUUCAUUCCAUGUAUUUGUGAUUUUUGAACUAGAUCUUCUUGGUUUAUUAAUUUAAUUUUGUUUGGAACGUUUUAAUAUCUUGUUUUUAGGCACUUGGAGAUUGCUAGAUUAUCGCUUUGUUGAAGCAAUAGGUAAUUUAAGUUUGCUUGCUAUAGGCAUUGAUCAAUCUAACCUAUAAUUGAAUUCGCAUGAAUAAUAUAUUUAGUUAGACACUUGAAAAUUAAGUAUUUUACCUAACGAGCCCUUGAUCAUAAUGCAAUUAAUUAGUAAACUGAAAUUUGUAUGCUUCUCAUUGGUUCAAUUUGUAUCAACUAGUUGCUUAGAAAAAUUCAAUUGAAUUGAUCAAGUGAAAGCAACCUAAAAAUUUAGUAAUUACUAUAAAAGCAUGAUUGAAUACAUUGAAUGAAGAAUUAUGUUAAACCCAAACUAGAUUCUUUUGAUAUUGAAUUAUGCAAAUUUAUUUCCUUUGUAGUUUACUAUUUAUUGCAUUCAAAACUUCAAACGCCCCCUUACUUCGGGUUGAAAAUAAUUUGGCUUGAAAAACUGCUUGCUUCUUAAAUUCGACUCCAACUUACCAGUAAGACUAGCUAUAUAUUAGUGUGUAAUUCGAUAAUUAUUUGAUCUAAAUAUAUCAUCAAUUAUAUAUAUGUAUAUGAUAUUAAUUCUCUACCCACUUUAUUAGCAAAUAUGUCGUAUGAUAAAAUAUUAUACAAAAGCAAAAGUGAAGUGCAUGAUUAGCAACCUACUCACGUGGCUCAUUCUUAUGGUGCCACGCUUCACUUAGUUUUUUUCUCUAAACUUUUAAUUUGAUUCUUUCAUCUUUGCUUUUAUAACUCUUUGUUUUUCUUUAUUGUUUUUUUUUUUUUCUUUCAACCUCCAAAUUUCAAGUUCCAUCUUUACUAUUUUACCAUUUUAAGUUCAUCUAUUUCUUUUUUCCAACAGAUUUCUUCUGAAGUAAAACCCCAACAAAUUCCAUGAAAGAGCACUAAUGAUAAAUAUACUCUUUCAAAUCUCUUCACUUUUUUACCCAUCUCCAACAAGGGUUGCUUUUGUUUAUUUAUAAAUUUAUGGUGGGAGAAGAAAAAGAGAACUAUGAGAGUGAAGCUUGGGACUAGAAGCUAAAAACAACAAGAAAUUAAAAACAUGAAAAAGAAAGAAGGAACAAUUUUUUUAAAAAAAUACAAAUACCUUAUAUUAUAAUUAUUAAUACUGUAAUAGUUUUAUGUAAUUGAAAUUUAUAUUAAAUAAAUAUUAUAAUAUUGUGAAUAAUGAAUUAAGGAUAUUCACAUCCUCUUUUUCUAAUUUUGAAAGCAUGAAUAAUGGGGCAGAGAUUCUACACUUUUACGUUGAUAGGAAUGUUUGUGGUGUGGAAUCAAACUGCAUCUCUUAAAUUAAAUUCUUACCUUUUGUAGCCUUUUUGUUGUACAAUAAUAACCAAACUCCCUUUCAUAUUUCCUUCUUUUAUUGGAUAAAUCAAUACUGGGUAUAAGGGUCUAAUCAAGGAUCAUUUUUGGGUCUAUGUCAAUUAUACCAUCAUCCUCCUCCUAAGCUUCCAUUCUUAGAUUGGAGAUUUUUCCCGGUAGUGAGAAUAGUUGAGAUGACAAUGUGUUUCCAUACACGAAAAUCGAGGAUAUUAAAAUAUUUGAUAUGUCUCUACGCAUUGUCUACUGCUAACCCUUUUCUUCUCUAUCCAAUUAAUAGAAAUUUAGUCACGUUUAAAUUCCAAGUAUUUAAGAAGAAAACAAAUGAAGAGGAACAACUUUAAGGUAUAGUCUUUCAUGGUUAUUCAAAUGACAACUUUGCUGGUAAAUUAGGAAAUAUAAGUUAUGUUCAUGGAAAUGUAAACUUUAGUGGUGUCAUCUUCCUUGAAUAUGCUUAAACUUUAAGCAUAAAAAAAAGAUGAAAACAAACAUUUCUUCAAUCUUCUUCUCUUCUUUUUGGUGUGUAUAAUACUUGGCCCAGACACCAAAAAGUAUAUUUUGUAUACAUUAACUAGAAAAACACAUCUUUAGUACUUUAUCAUGAUUCAUGCUUUCUACCAUUAUCAUUUGUAUGCUACAUCAUUUAUCUAUUAAUUAAAUUAAUGAUUCGAAAAAUUUCUCAAAAUAGGUUCGGAUAAACUUAUUUAUUCAAUUGAAUUGGAUAGAUAAUGCAUUAAAUACUAUUUUGAUGUAUAUAUAUAUAUAUAGAUAGAGAGAGAGAGGACGGAGGGAUAAAACUUUUUGAGUAAUAAGAGAAAAUGAUUGCCGUGAAAAAGGUUGAGUUAAAAAAGUUAGCUUAUUAAUUACUUAAAGGUAAAAAGUAUACAGAUACAUAUAUAUAUGAGUGCAAUAGUAUUUGUCUGUUUUUCACGUGGUGGCUUAUAUUUUAGUUACAAAAUAUUAAAAUAAAAUUGAAAAUCUGCCUCUCACAAACACAAAAUCAAGACGGCCACCGUCGCCAGCGACAAAGCAAAUCAACGACACACCCUUUCUCUCUGCUCCUUCUCUUUCUCUUUCACUUCUCUCCUCAAUCCGUACGCUCAGAUUCUUCCCUUUGUUCCCCGCCGCCGAUGCCACACGCUUUACCCUCCUCCUCUUCACCCUCUCCCUCUCCCUCACCAUCAAUCACUUUCUCUUUCUCUUCUCUCCACACGAUCUGAAUACCACACCUUCCUCUUUCCUUUCAAAAUGGUGCUGGAAUUACUUUCCUCCAACACCUCUUGUCUUCCUCUCGACCUUCUCGUUCUCGAUGUAGUUAUGGCUUCCUUCAAUGGUCUUCUUGCUUUCGUCGCCUUCUCUCAGGUGAGCUCCUCUUCUCGUAAUUGUCAACAGUUUCGGGAUUUUUUUUUUCUUUUUUUUAAUUUCAAUUGCAUCUUAGAAUUGUUCCGACGAGAUUUCUAUGUAUGUAUUUGUGGUUUGAUUGGUUAUUAAUGAUUUGGCAUUGGAGUUGAAGUUCAAAUUCUUUGUAGAUAAGAGCUGAACGUUUGGUGUAAUUGAGAAUUGGUGCUUAAAAACACAUUGGUACACUUUAGGGAUAAUUUAGGUUGGGAAUUCUUUUGGAAAGACAGACUGUUCACCGGUUCUAAGCUCGAUUGUUGAGGGACAUUGUCAAAGGGAUAUAGGAUUGUGCGUUACUUUCUUUUACAUAUGAGUUCGAGUGUCUGCAUUUGUUUAAUAUUGCUAGUCUGUUCAAUUUUCAAUUUCAAGUUUUUUCUCCGUAAUCUUUACUUACACUUCAGAAAUUAUGGUUUUCUUUUCGUGCAUUUAAAUUUGUGAGACUUAUGGUUUUGUAACAUGUUGUAAUCAUUUGAUUGAGAGGAAUAAGAAUUGACACUAUGAGAGACAUCACUCCAUAUCAAGCAAAUGGAGCAUGUUUUUCAUUAUCGUAAAAUUUUUUAAUUCUUCGUACUGGAGAACUUACGGUGGUGAGCGAUGGAAUAUAUUCUUGCAUUCCUUUGCACAUUAAAUUGUGUAGUGAAUGGUUUAUUGCUAGUAAUUUUUGUUAUGCGUUAAUUGUUCUGGUUUUUAUUCCAGCUCAUCAGAAUUCACAUGCGGAGUCAACAAGAUGGAUGGACACGUCAAAAAGUGAGACAUAGUCUUUCUACCCCUUAAUUCUUCAUGAAUAUUAUAACUAAGAAGGAUUUCAAUUUUGAAGAUGUCUUCGUGGAAUUUGGAAACACGGAUGAUAUUUGUUCUUAAUAAUUUCUCUUUUGAAGUACAAAUAUGACAUGGCUCCUUGAAUUCUAGGCACAAAGUGCGUAAGAGGCAAUAGUUCCCUCAAGUUUAACUGUAAUGUAGGUAGUGAGAACCCAUGUUCUUUUAAAAACCAGCAAAUUCCAUAGGAAGAGCACUCAAGAGGAAGUCAAUAAUAAAAUCUCUUUGAUCUUAAAAGAUUACAUUUCUUUUCUAAGUAUGGUGUCAUUUGCGAACUUUCUUUUAAUUGAUUGUUAGCAAUUGAAAAGAAAGUUUAUUUGUUAACAUUCUCACUAUGUGAUAAUAAUCUUUCUUUGGAAUUCAACUUGCAGGCACUCCAUCUGAUGAUAGGCUCAUCUAACUUGGGUAAGCGUGUACUAAUCAAAAUGACUGGUUCUUACAAAAAAACAGAAGUAACUAGUUGAGAUGACCAGUUAUCCUUUAUAAUACAAAUGCUACCUAAGCCUAUUCAUUCACGUUCUUGGGAUGAAUUUACGUUCAAUAUUGCAUUUGGAUCAACCUGGUCCAUUUUCAAAACACUAGUAAGGGCAUCAUAUUGAAAAUGUUAAGAAUUUUGGCUUAUGUGAGUUUGAUAAAUCUAAAGUACCUCUAUUGUAUUCACAAAAAGAUAUAUACCUACUGUGGUUGAACCGUUUCAGGCAUUUGAUUUAGACUGAUUUAGUAGCUUUAACACAAUUUAAUCUUUAUAAAAGAGUAGUCUAACUUUUUUUGUGCACUUGUAUGAACGGCAGUCUGCAACUAGUACACUGCUGCAAUCCUUAAACUUUGUACCAUACUGUUCUUUGUUUAUUUUGUUUUCUUUUCUGGAUUCUCUACUAUCAUGGCCUCUCAUUAACUUCUGGACAUAACACCAUGUUAAUUUUUGAAACUUGGUGAUUGAUUUGCAGGCUAUAUGAUCUAUUUCAUAUUUGCACUAGUUACUAUUAUUCAGCUCUGGCACUGCUGGUCUCAUGUGUUUGCAUUUGUCCUCAUGGGUAUGUUUUCAACAGUUGUUAUUAUUUUAUGUGCUCCCGCCCAGACAUAGCAUAUACUAAUAAUUUUGAGUGGAAUUGCUGUUGCAGCCUUCCCUAAAAUAUUAUUUCUUGCUGCUUUUCUCCUACUUCUGUCUUUCUGGUACGUUUCCAACCGUUUUCUAGUGUAGAAGCUUUUAUUCUUGAAUUAGUAAAUCAUCUUAUCCUUUACUGACAUCGAUUAUCUUCCAUGUUGAAGCAUAAAUUUUAAGCUCUUCCAUGUUGAAGCAUAAAUUUUAAGCUCCUUUCUAGUUGUACUUUUGGAUUUGGAAAUAUGGGGCUAAUGGUUUAAAUUGUAGCAAUGCAAUUACGAGUGCAUUUUCUUUUUGUGAAUUUUUUCCACUCAACUCAAAAUGCUGUAUAAUUUAUAUGGUAUACAUAUGCUUCUAUUGUAUAUGAUAUCAUAGGGUCGACCUUUGCCACCAGGCAAAUGACGAAGAGGAUGACGAUGAUGAUGAAGAAAAUAACAUUCGACAGACCUUGUUAGAAAAUUCAAAAAAUAAACCUGGUUCAUCAAAUGUAGAUGGGCAUCGAAGAUGUUGUGGGUUUCCUGCUAUUCACCUUGGAAGUAGGCAAAAAAUUGUAAUUGUGGUAAUGUGGAACAUCUUAUUAGUAUCAUUUAUUUGUGUGAAGUAAUUGUGUUUGUUCAUGUAUUGUUUGCUUGUUUGAUAUUUAUUUUUUUCCAAUAUAAUCUUAUAUCAGCCAUCCCUAUCUUUCAGGUUGUCAUGCUGGUAUUUUUACUCAUGGUCGCAGUUUCUAUUUUGAUCUGGAUUGGGGCAGGAAAAAAUCCUAUUGAUUCUACAGCUGUUGCCAGGGUAUAGAUUACUUUUCAUUUUCGAAUCUGGUUUUCAUGUUCAUAUUGUCUAAAAUUCAGUUGUUGCAUGCAACUGCUUUACAGCAGGGUAUCUGAAAGACAUGGCAGUUAAAUUGACUUGACAAAAAAAGCCUUUAGGGCUAAGUGAAUAAUAUGGUUGACGGAUUCUCAAAUUGGACAUAAGUUGGAUUCAUACUGUAAUCUAAAUAAAGAGAAAACUAGAGUUAUGGACUUACCAGAAUUUAUUUGCAAAAUUAAUACUUUUUCUUUCCUUGAACAAAGUUAGUCCUUUUAAAAUUUGUCAGACUUUGGAGCUAUGGUUCUUAAAGCAUUAAACAAAACUAAUAAAUAUAAGUUCAAAUGUAAUAUUCUUAAUUUCAGGCUGCAGCCAUAUUCUUUUUGCUGUGAUUAAACUGGAAAUAGUGUUUUCAUUUUGUAGCAUUUGUUAGUAUUAUACAUAGGUUUUAGUUUCACAUUUCUUUCCUAGAUCUACAGGUAUCUUAUCCAGUAGUUGUACUUGUAUUGAUACAAUUUAAUUAAUUCCUAAAUGCUGUUUAUUUCAACUUAUUGGUUAUUUUCAGGUGUAUGAAGACUUUCUUGCUAUUACAGUCCUCCUAUCAGGAGGAGCCCUAGGCUUCUAUGGUGAGCAAUUUCUCUUGAUAUUUUCGGCUUUCUUCUAAGAAGUUUAUAAUUGUUUGAUGUGAUAUUCUGGUAGUUUGCAUUUGUUUUUUUUCUUUUCUUCAAUCUCUUUAUAUGUCUGACCCAAUAUGAUUUUUCUUUCUUCUUCCUCUCCUAAAUUUUUUUCAGGAUUUAUGUUAUUUUACAGAUUGAAAAAAGUUCGUUCUGAGGAAGCUUCUUCAGAGAUGAAGAAGGUAAUUGACUCAAGUUCUAUAAUUACCGUGUAAUUCUUUUCCCUCUCCUGUCAGUUGAAGUGUUAGUUCCUGAAUGUGUAUGGAUGUGGACGGGAAAUCCGUUAAGAUUAAAUUGCUUAAUAAUUUAAAAUCAAAGAUAUUAUCCACAAAGUAUACAUUAUAGGACCUUUAUCUGAAAUCUAAUAAAUCUCAAGAUUUGGGAAUAAUUCUAUUACAUGCAGGUUGGUGGUCUAGCAGUUGUCUGUGUUGUAUGUUUUACAUCAAGUGCUUUGGUAGAUCUUCUUACGGAUAUUCCUGUAAGUUGUAGACUCUCUUUAUGUGUUUGGAUCCAGUUGGUUGUGAAUGAUCUCAUAUAUAUAUGCUUCGUUUAAGUUUCUAACAUUUCUCACUUAUGAUAGCUUUCUUAUAAUUGGCGCUUCAAGAGAACAAAUGGAGUAGAGGCAUCGGUCAUUUUAAGUUUGUACUUCUGCAUGGGUAUGUCCUUCUGAUUUCUUUUAUUGACCUGGGAUCUAAAUUAUUUGAGUAUUAGAUACUGGUUUGCCGUGUUUGCCUUCUUGGGUUGAUUUUGGUAGAAAUUUGGUAUCCUCUUUUGAUUUUUUAUUUUCCUCCAAAGUUUUUUAUUCUGUUAUAUAUAUGUGUGUGUGUGUAUAUAUGUAUGUAUUAUAGCUACUAGCUAAAAGAGUUUGUGUAACUAAAGUUUAAAACUUUCAACCCUCUGAACUGACUUCGUUUGGAUGGGAUAUUGGGUGCAGUAUCUUUAUAUUGUUAUUGGCACUGUAUUUGUUGAAAAUUGAGAUCUGUUUUUAUGAGCCUGAUAUUAUAGUUACAUUUGAUCUAUUGCUUGAACAAGCAACUACGUUAACAGAAAAAUGGUUUAUCCCCCAUGCAUUAGGGUCGCUUUGUAGCGUAAUUACUUCAUUUAUGUUCAAAAGUCAUUAAUACUUCAGUUCAUUAUUAGCUUUUUCUGAAUGAAAGUUUAAUUUUGUUAGAAUUAGUGCGCUUGUGUGUUGAAAGCCCAAGGGUUCUUUUGUAUUUUAUGUAACCCUAAUUGUUCUUUCCUUUUUUUUUGGCUUCUGUUGGCUAUUAAUCUUCUCCCUUUGUAUCUUUUGUGAUAUAACCAAAUAAUAAAAAAACUCUACACUGUGGUUUUUCUACCUGUACUAGGGUUUCCACGUAAACUUGUGUUUUGUUCUUUGUUAUUCUUUCAAUAUAGUAUCAGUGCGGGAUAACAACAAUAAAUAAAUAAACAAAACUUUGGUUUUUUAAAGUGAUGAAUAUUAGUAGGUCCAGAGUUCACCUGGCUUUCUUGAGGCUUAUGUUCAUCAUAAAUUUAAAAAUAUGAGAUAUUUUGUAAUUUGUAGAUGGAAAAUUAUUCCUAGAGGUUUUAAUAUAUAUAUGUAUAUACACAUACAUACAUACAUAUUAAAGGGUUUUUGUAUGGCUUGUUUUGUUCUGGUCACUAUUUCUUCUUUAGCUUGAGAUGUUAUUUAGUCUUGGUACAUUUUCUCGAAAUGAUUUGGUCACUAAGGGUGUGUCUUCCUAGUUGAGAUGCUUGGUUGUGUCAUUCUUAGUUUUUUUUUUGUUCGUUGUAUAAUUCUCUUGUAUUCUGACCAUUAUUUUCAUUUCAUUUUAUCAAUGAAGGGCUCGUAUCCAUUUAAAUUUAUUAAAAUAAAAGAAACAUAAAAAGAAAAAAGGUCCUAGAGGUGGGCAUCUUGUAAAAGUUGACUGCACUAUCUCCUGCUCCUCAGUAAUCAUUUGUAGUGUUCGUUAAAAUACAGGAUCAUAAUUAUAUGAUAAUGAAUGUUCCCGAGUUGUAAUUUCCUGAAUUAUACUUCAAAUGAUGGAUCGUCAUCCCAGAGAAAAUGAAUCCAUGCAAGUCUGCUUGUGUAUUCAUGCAUUUUCCAUUUAUUAGCAAGGUUUUGUUUAUUGUGGUCAAACUUGUUUCUUGUUAGGUUCUUUGAUUCCAUCAGCGUUUUUAUUGUGGAUUAUGAGAGAGUUGCCACCUCCUAAGAAAGUUCAAAGACAAGAAGAAUCGAGAGCAAUUGCAUUUAUAAGCCAUGGGGCAGCUGAUGCAAAUCCUCAGGGUUGGACUGCUGUAGCUCGUUCAAAGAAUCAGGUUUCUUGUCUUUCGCCUUCUGAAGUGUCAACAUUAUCUUUUUGAAGUUUUAUUCUUGAUUUAUUACUUGUGUAAAUAAUAGGACUUUCUCAUUAAGGAGAAAAAAUGGUGAAGAAUAAGACUUGUGCAUGCUAAUGAAUUGAUCAAAACCUGAGGUAGCUUUUUUUUUGGGAUAAAGAAACAUUUCAACAAAAAAUGAAAUUAGGGGAAAAUGCGAGACACCUAUGGGUGAUGACAAGAAAGAUCGCCAAUUGGCAAUUAGAAAAGAUAAGCUAUAAUGGGUGAAAGCAUGCUGCUUAAUUUUGCACCAUGAAAAAAGCAGUAGAAAGGACUGAUGCCUAAAAUCUACCAAAAGGGGAGCAAGAAUCACAAAAAAAGACCGACAAUUUCGUUCUCUCCAAAGAACCAAACCUGGGGUAACUUUCCGCCUUAAAAAUUUCUAUCUAAUGAUUUAUUGCAGAGGCAUCUUAAGUCACUCCAAAAUGUUCUUUUAUAUUUCUUAUAAAAGCCUCAGCUUUUUUUUUCCCACUUCCGAUUUUAUCUUUGAUUACUUAUUUUCAGCAUAGCUUUUGUGGAGCACCUCAUCUUGGUUAACAUCUCUUUCCUCAUCAGACUUAAGACCUUGGAAUGAUUAUAGAGCUCUCUUGGUAAAUUUUUAUAGGUACCUUAGCUCAUGGAGAGGUUUGGUAACCUCCUCCUUUUCUUAUCAUCUUGUUCUUCAUUAACUCCGACGUCACACACAAUCAUCAAGGGUUAUGAUAAAAUUAGACCAGGGAUAGAAAGUGAAGAAUCCUAUUGACACCAUUAGGGUUAGAAAUGAACUUCCAUUUAGUACUUGUUCUGCAGCCCAAAGCUUGAUUGCUUCUUGUUGACAUCACCAAUAGGUCGGUUUCAUUGGCUAAGAAAAAUGAGAACAAAAGAGUCUUCACAAGGAAAGCUACCUACGGCUUUCUUUCAGGCGUAUUUGAUAAGAAAUUGUUGUUUACUUAUUUCAGAUCUUCUUAAUUCAGUACCUCAAAGUUUGCUUAUUAUUCUGUGUUGAUUAUAAUUCAAGAACAAAGUUGAAGUAGACAUCAUAAGAGUCUCUUUUAGUCAUAUUUGGUUAGAGAGUAACAGACGUACUUUUUAGGAGAGCUAAGGGUGUUGGUGAUUCUUGGCAGUUUGCAUCUUGUCAGUGUAGAAUCCUCAAAUGACUUCUUUAAUUCUCUUACUCUAUGAUUCUUCCAAUUAGAGGGAUUUUUGGAAAUUCCUUGAAGAGUGUAAAUUUUAUAGGUUCAAAUGGAACUCUCUGCUUCCUUUCAAAAUAAAAUAGUAAAGAUCACAAAGGAACUUAUAUAGGAAGAAUGUGAUAGCACACUGAUUAAUACUUGUAAGGUUCAUAAAAACCAUACAAUUUGUGAUGUUGUGGGUUUCCAUCCAUGUCGCAUGAUGUUAGGCAGAUCAGCAGUACAUCAUUCAACCAGACAUGCCAGAUGUAUGAGUAAAAGGAAUUUUGACAAUGAUUCUAACAUAACCUCUCUCUUCCUCCUACAAGAAACCACUCGUUCAAAUUAUCAUUGGUUGACCUAGUGGUAAAUAAAGGAACAUCCCCUUGAUAGAAGGUUAAGAGGUUAUGGGUCAAUCCAUGGUAGCUAUAUACUUAGGAGUUAAUAUUUUACGAGUUUCCUUGACGAUUAGGAGAUUAGUCGAGGUGCAUGUAAGCUGGUCUAAACGUUCACGAGUAUAAAGAAAAGGAAAAGAAACUACUUCUCCCAACCAAAGAGAUUAAUGUUGAGGUUUGAAUUUACUUUGUCCAAUCAUAUGAUUCCAAGAGCUGACACCAUCAAAUUGACAUAACAUGAACCGGAACCUCUUACCUAUUGUAAUGGUUCACAGCAUCUUAAUACUUAUUUGUGGUACCAUUGAAGAUGCAUUUAAAUGCCGUCCGUGCUGUGUUCUUUAAAAAGUUGGGUGUGGACGUCAGCUGAAAGUAUGCAAAUGCAGUUCAGCCUACGAAGCUAUGUUUUCGGGCUUCAACAUGGGUUUAGGAAAGUGGAGGCUCUUUGGUUGAAGGGUUGAAUGUUUUUGUAAAUCCAGCAUGAUCGUCAAACUUUGACAUAAAAAGCUUAAGUAUUUUGUUCCGUUCUAUUCUUUUAAUCCUUAUAUUGUUAUGUAUUCUUUUCUCUGAACUGAAUGUACGGUGAUUGCAGGGGUCGAGAGCAAGUCCGAUAUAAUGAAACAUGUAAGGACGCGAUUGAGUGAAAAAUUAUGAGCAGAGAUACAAAGUCUAACUUACGGGAUGAAAGAUGAGAGGUUUGACCAAGAGCUGUGACGCCUGUAUAUUUCAACAAAAGUUGAUGACUAACAUCACAUGUCAGAGUAAUCAAAGAAAUGCAGCCGCACAUAUAUAUAUAUACAUAUCUAUAUAUAUAUAUCGAGGUUUUUUUUUUUUUUCUUUCUUUUUUAAUUUCUUUAAAUUUAUUUUCCUUUGCCCUCCCCCUUCUUCUGCACAUAGUAGCCAAGGAUUGAUCGCUUUCUUUGAUUUUGGGGGGAAAAUGUUGUACAAUUUUUGCUUCCAUAGAAGCUUGAAAGUUUUGCAGAUUAUGUUGUAAAAUCACCCUUGUGUACUCAAACUAGUUGUUCUCAUGGAAACUGAUAUUACAAUGGUUAAGUUAUAAGGGUCACCGGUAACUACCAUUUUCUAAUUUAUGAAUGCCGAUCAAGUCUCUCUACAUGAAAAGACCUUUCCUCUGCGAUGCGUUUGUUGUUGUAAAUGUGCAGUGUCGUUGGAUACACAAUUAUGUGAAAGGGAAUAUGAUUAACUCUAAACUCAACCCCUAUCUCGUAUUUUGUAAAUUUUCACUUCUGAAAGGUAUUUACGUUGUUCAAUUACCUACUAAUUACUAUUAUAUCAUUAUUCAACAAUGAUUUUGAAUUUUCCAAAGGGACAUUUGUUGGAUGUUGGAUGUUGGAUGUUGGACAGUUGAUAUCUCAAAUAAGAUCCAUAUUGCUAAAUUGGUAUCUUAAGGACGUGUUUGUAUAAUGACUUUAAUUUGUUUGCAUAUCUUCCGUUAUAAUUCAACCCCUCUUGACCAUUACUGAAAAUUUCGGAAAAAAAACAGUGGAGUUGUAAAAUUGGCGAUUUAAGGCAGUGGAGUUGAAUUAGUUGGUAUAAUUGUUGAAGAAGAUGUGAAAAAGUAUGAUAUUCUGAAUUCGAAAGAGCAUGUAACACCAAAACUAAGGGGUCAGCAAUGAGUAGGGCAAAAUCAAGGAAGUUGAUCUAUUUUUCUUAUCCUUAUCAAGAGUUGGCAUAUGAUAUCAAAGAUAAAGAGUACGUGGAGGUCUAGCAUUGGGCAAGACAGAAAGAGAGAAGCAAAAUAUGAUAGAGUAGCCAUAGGAAGUAGGAAGUGGAAGGAAGCAAAUAACAUACAUUUGUAAUUGUGGAUGAUAAACUGCCAUAUGGCAAUUGAAAAUAAACUAAAUAAAAACAAAAAUCUUGGGAGUGUUCAUUUUAGCCAAUGAGGAAACAGAUAGAGAUCUCAUCAAGAUAAGGACCCUAUUCUCUUCUUCAUCUAUAAAACAAAAACAAAUCAAACCCUCAACUCACUCAUACAAACCAAAAACUACUCCAAUUCUAACUAACAGAUACGAUGGCAGCUUCAUCCAUGGCUCUCUCCUCCCCUUCCUUCGCCGGCCAAGCCGUCAAAUUAUCCCCCACCGCCUCCGACCUCCUCGGCGAAGGCCGCAUUACCAUGAGAAAAACCGCCGGAAAGCCCAAGCCCGUUUCCUCCGGUAGCCCAUGGUACGGCCCCGAUCGUGUCAAAUACCUUGGCCCAUUCUCUGGAGAACCCCCAUCCUAUCUUACCGGAGAAUUCCCCGGUGACUACGGUUGGGACACUGCCGGCCUCUCCGCCGACCCCGAAACCUUCGCCAAAAACCGUGAACUCGAAGUAAUCCACUCGAGAUGGGCCAUGCUCGGAGCCUUAGGCUGCGUAUUCCCGGAGCUCCUCUCCCGCAACGGAGUCAAAUUCGGCGAGGCUGUGUGGUUCAAAGCUGGAUCACAAAUCUUCAGCGAAGGUGGGCUCGACU